AGAGAUGGAGCCCGAAGCAAGACCUGUGGAUUUGAAGAAAUGGACUCUGAAAGCGCCCAUGCCACGCGUCCGUGCCGUUUGAGUCAAUGCUAAGCUGCGACGGAAGAAAAAUAAGAAACCUGCACUACAAAUCCUGCAAACAACCGUUAAGCUGGGAAAGCUCAAAUCCUUUUGUUUCUGGAUCUCUCCGCUUAAUGCAUAAUGGGAGAAGAAGCAAGACCCUGGUGUGCGAGUCCCUGCAUGACACAGACCUGGGUUCAGACUGCUCGGCUGCCAACAGCAGAGCUCCUUUCUGCUGCAGUGACUGCCACGGUGCGCGCUCAGAAGAGAUGACUGUCCCUUCGGCUCCAGGCAAGGGAUGUAUGUCUGUGCGUGUGCAUUGCUACCAUAC